rnacentral:rRNA from 1 species
UACGUAGGGGGCAAGCGUUGUCCGGAAUCAUUGGGCGUAAAGAGCGUGUAGGCGGCCAGAAAAGUCCGCUGUGAAAACUCGAGGCUCAACUUCGAGCUGUCGGUGGAAACUUUCUGGCUAGAGUCCGGAAGAGGAGAAUGGAAUUCCUGGUGUAGCGGUGAAAUGCGCAGAUAUCAGGAAGAACACCCGUGGCGAAGGCGGUUCUCUAGGACGGUACUGACGCUGAGACGCGAAAGCGUGGGGAGCGAACAGG